rnacentral:tRNA from 1 species
CAGGGUGUAGCUCAGUGGGUAGAGUGCCCGCCUUGGACGCGGGAGGUCGCCGGUUCGAAUCCGGCCGCCCUGACCA